CCAGGCUGGUCUCGAACUCCAGACCUCAAAUGAUCCACCUGCCUUGGCCUCUCGAAGUGCUGGGAUUGCAGGCAUGAGCCACCACGCCUGGCCUUCCUGGGACACCUUUACAGUGGGAAGCAAACAUUCACCAGAGCUGGGAGAAAAAAGCAUGCAAGAAUUGGAAUGAAGAGAUGCACUGGGCUGCUUCUGGACAAGCUGUCUGUCUAGGCAAGAGUCAGCAAAGGCAAGAAGAGACCAUUUCCUUCUCCAUUUCUCUUGGUUUCCUGGCUCUUCCCAAAUGUCCAGGGGAUCCUGAAGGGGGUGAAGGGUGGGGGUGGUAGGGGAAGUGUGUGCCUUGUGCCUUCUAAGGCAACCAUGUUGGCCAAAAGAAUCAAGCCAUGACAAUGGCCAUUGUGAAGACCCCGCAGCUUUCUGAGCAGAGAACACAGCGAAAGAGCUGUGUGGUUCCUGUCUCAGAGCAUAGCUUUCCUUUCUCUAAGGCAAUGGUCUCCAAACUUUUCUUCAAGAAUUCCUAUCAGUAAAGUAAAAAUAAAAUUGAGGACAUACUAUGCAUAUAUACAUAUGUGCAUAUGUACUUUAUGUGUGCUACUGAAUUAAUAUAUCAUAUGUGUUAUAAAACACACAAAAUAGAAACUAGGUAACUGAGAUGAACUGAUAGGUUUAUAUUUUCCUCCCUCUUCCCAGUGGAUUGCCUUGCAUCAUGGCCAGGGUGUGUGCAUUCAACUUUGGCAGUCUUGGCCUGAGUGACAGAAUACUGGAAGGUCCUAAUAAGCUUCUCCAAUGAGCAUAGGCAGUGAUGGAACCAAACCAUCAAAAUGAGCUCUUCAAAGAAGAACCCAGGUUUUCCUCUUCAGCUGCAUAUGAUCAAUUCUAAUUAAAUGGUAAAGGAAAGAAGAAUAGAAGGAAAGAAUUCUUGAAAAUCUGGUAACUAACAUGGAAGCUGUGCUUUAUAUCAGGUUAUGUGAGUAAUCUUGAUCUGUCUACAAGCUCAAAGUUUCUAUCCAAAUAUAUUUAUCUGGAUCCGAGGCAGGAUCACUGCCAGGCUCUGUCACCUGCUCAGGAGAGUCACCUACCCAGUAUACAAGGGGAUAACCACAGGGCACACCGAAGCCAUUGCAGAACUUCCCAAGCUUGGGUCAGGCCUCCUGACUCUACACACGCACGUGUACUCCACCCAUUCCCAGCCUCCCAGCUUUCUUGACAAGUACCCAAGGAGGAUGGUUCUUGUCAACUCAUUGAUAAGGUCAUGGUAUUGUGGAGCAGGAGCUAACCUGUGUUCUAUUUUCAGCUCUCUUGUUAGCUGUGUGAGCUUGGGCAAGUGCCUCACCUUCUCUGAACCUGAGUUUUUGCAUCUGUUUAGGCCAUGAUAUUACCCUGCCUACCCCACAGUGUUAUCACGAAAUUCACAUGAACACACAUAUGAAGGUGCUUUGCAAACACUGUACAAGUGAAAUUGUAAGGUAUCCUGACUCAUGUGCUAAGGCCUUUUCAAGGCACAAGGACAAAUGUUUCCCAGGGAUCCUAUAGUUAGCCACUCUGAGGCAUUUUCCCUUAGGAGCCCAGCCCUGAGGGAAACUGGCUCAUGGCAGAUUUUUAAUCCGAACCCAGAGCUCUGGAGGCUUUAUAAUCCUAAAGACUAAACCAGGUGAACAACAAAAACAUCCAUAAAGCAAUUUGGGUAAAUUUCCAUGCUUCCAGGUAAUGCCUAGGUUUCUAAGGGGUUGCAUUUGUUUGUUCAGUCAUUCAAGAAUUUAUAGAUCAUCUUAACUCUGAGAUAAAGUGAAAAAAAGAGCUCAUGUUCCAGCAGAUGAGAAAGACAUGGAAACAGUCAUUGCAAGACACUGACAGGAGCCACAAACCAGGUAUGCAUUACAAUGGGCUUUGGAACACUGGGAGGCUUAAAUAAAUCGAGUUAAGUGACUUAUGAAAGAAUAGGAGUUCAGGCAUGGCCAGCAGGGGCAAAAGACAUUCAAGAAAGAGGAAAAGAAGUGCAGAGAUCAGGAGUGGGGCUGAGGGGUAAGGAGGGGUAGAGAACAGCAUGAUUUUCUGGGAACUGUAAGGGAUUUAAUAAGUCUUGAAUGUAACAUAAGGAAGAAGAGGGGUAGACAGUAAGCAUAGAAAGUAAGCAGAAGCCAGAUCAUGGUGGAAGUGGGGUGGCAGCAGGUCUCCCAAGCCAGUAGAAAGUGGAAAAGGGCAGGUGCUCUGCCCUCAAACCCACCCCAUUUUCCAUAGGAGGACCAGGAAGAUAUCUGGGAAGAAGAGACGUACCUAAAAGAAAUUUUUUUCUUGAAAAGCCAUUUAUGCCAUGUACUGGGCAACAUAAACUCCCUUUGUGCCUCCAAAAAUCUUUAGAGAAAUUUCAAAAAAGUUAUGAUGUGUGUGGUAUAAUUGCUUUUAUUGUUAUAGCUAGUUUAGAGGCUGAAUUUUGUAUUAAGGAUAGCUCAGAAUCAGCUCAUGCUGAUAAAGAGGGAACUGACCUCUGAGUUUUUAAAUCAUGCCCUGUAAUGAAUAGUUCAUGUUCCUGACAAAGUAAUCAAAUUCAUUAACUAGCUUUAGUCCUAGUAGGAGCCCCUUUAUUUCAGGAAUUGACAUCAAGCCUAAUCUGUUCCAGGAGGAAUGAAUCUCCUCCAUUGAGCAUAUGCUUACCAAGUGCCUAUCACACUUACCAUAUACAGAUAUGAAGAAACCUCAGUAAGACUAAAUUCUAUAUUGAGGGACUGUUCACCUUUUUUUGCCCACUCAGGAUACCAGGCAUCUAAUAGGAAGGCUGGGCCCAUUCAGUCCAGAUUUAUAACAACUCCUCAAGGAAUCUGUGAAACCAACUGCAAGUACUUGUUGAGACUAAGCCAACAUUCUUUGCAGUAAGAACCAGAGAAAUUUUAUUCUCUGUGCUUAACAACAAAGGACUUCAAGAAUUGCUUCUGUCUCUCCUUCAUGAGAAAAGUGGCUGGCAAUCACUCUUAACCUGUCUAGUUGAAGGCAUAGCUCUGGUCUGAUCUAGGUCACCAUUGGGCUUCCUGUGCUGUCAUCUGCUGCCUCUUGCCGCAGAUUCCUGGUGGUAUGUCUCAGCCUUUGCAUGAAACACAACCAUGAAACACUAAGUGCCAAUCAUUUCCUAUAAACUGCUUUGAUUUCCUCCAUGAAGCUCUUUUAAAAAAUCUGGUAUUGUGGUAUUUAUAGCUUCCUGUUUCUGCCACCUACAUAUUCUGAUGGUUGUUGUGCUUUCUCUUUGGAGAUAGAUAAACAUUCACAGCACCAAAGGGAGUAAGGGCUUUGUACCUUUUUUCAUGGAAAGAGUUAGUCAUAUUUAGAUUGAAGUUAUAGCUUAAAAAGGAGCCCUCGUUGUAUAGAAACAUGGAUGCCAUGACACCUCCAGUGCAAUAUUUUUAAGCCUCUCCCUGCCAUUGGUCACUUACAUAGUACUGUUAAAUCACUCUGUGGAAUAUUGUUUCUAUCUUCUAGAAGCUCACAAUCUAUGUCAGAAGAUUAGACAUGCAAGUGUCUGUUGAAGUAGCUGGAGAGUGAGGCAGGAGGAGUGGAAGGAUGGCCAGCAGCAUGGAACCCACAAGGGGAGAUUUCACAGAGGAGCCUCAAUGGUGUGGGGGGUCAGGAAGAAAAAGGACCAGACAGCUGUGAAUUUUGUUUCCAGGACAUAAAUAGGGGAUUUCUAGCAAAUACACCCAGGUGAGUGUGUAGAACGGGCAGUCAGAUGCAAGGGGUAAAGGAGGCGGAGAGGGAGCAAAGCCAUCUAGAAAGAUUGUUCCUUCAACAUGUGCAGUGAAAGAAAUCAUGGCAAAGGGAAAGCCAGGAUUAGGUUGUUUGGCAGGAUGCUGCAGUAGGCAUACUCAGGGGCUUCUGCUCUACCUGCUCUCCCUUCUCACAAUCUACCCCUACCCACAUGCCUGCUGAGUGGAAAGGGAAUUGGUUAUCCCAACGGUUAUUCCAAUCUCCUGGCCUUGGGUGAUUGGACCAAGAUGAGCACCUGAUUUGAGGAGGGCCAACCUAAGUUUCCAAUGACAUGUCACCUGACUGACUGGCCUCAAAAAGAUGAAUAUGGAACAAUCAGAUUCGUUCUCAUAGGAAGCCCAAACCAAGAGGCACAGAGAGGAGAUGCCCUUCAGGAAUGGAUCCUUGAGAUGAAAAUCAAGUUGAUGAGAAUAAAGUGGCUGUUAUCAGGUCGUGUGUAUGCAUAAGUCAUGGGGAACCACAGGAAGUAGCUGGGAAAGAGAGAACAACAGAUACAGGGAAGAAAGUGGAGAAGCCGGGAAUGAGAAAGAGCGAUCACCUCUAGCAUUUCCUGUAUGCCAAGUGCUGCACUAAGUCCCUAAGUCCUUUACAUUAAAUUACCUUAUUUAUUUCUCAUAGCAAUCUUAUGACAUGGAUGCUAUGAUUAUCCUCAUUUUACAGAUAAGAAACCAAGGCAUAAACAUAGUGUGCCCAAAAUGACUCUUGGGAAAGCCAUGAUGUAUACUAAAUAGACUGGCUCCCUAUUUAGUUUUUUUUUUUUUUAGUUUUAUAAGUGCUUGCUUGUAGCCACCAUGAAUUACCACCUCUCAAAAGGGAGAUGAGAUAGAAGUGAUCCCUGAAGCCAUCUGACACCCAACCUUUCCUAAACUCAGGUACUUAGAGUUAUUGGAUUUUCCAGAGAUCACCUGACCUCAUGAUCCUGAAUGGGUUUCAGUUCCUGGCAACCAAAAGAACCCUAACCCAACUGGAUAAGGAAAUUGAGCAUUCUGGGUGGGAGAGAAUGAUGUUAUACAAGGGAGUGUUGAUGAUGCUGACCCACCUAUGAGGAAGCACAAAGCGAUGGGAUGCAUGGAUAUGGAGAGAUUUUUCUUCUCUGUUAGCCAAGACUAUCCAGCUUAGUUUUACCAUCCGGCACCCACAGCACCACAUGGUAAGCCAACUAGAUAACCAAACCCACAGGGAGUGGCACAUAACCCAGCAGCCGUGCCCUUCCAGCUGGCUCUGCCACCAGUGCAAGGUGAGGUUGGUCCUGUUAUGUCUCCUCCCUUCCAAGCCUUCAUUUAUCUGUCAAUAGAAAGGGGAUGAUGACAAAAGAUGGAGAGAAUUUGACUUGCUAGGACUCUGGGGGAGGCUGGGGAAAUGCAGAUUACCAUGAUGGGGCUGCCCCCGGGGGCAGCCAGACCCAGGUUUUCCAGAGAUGGUCUCACAGAGGGAGAUUGGCAUGCAAGAAGUUUACCAGGGAAGGUUCUCAGGGUCAGCACUUGUGAGCGUAGAGAGGCAACAGGACAUUGAGCAGAGGGGGAAGUGGCAGCACAGUCAUCAGCCAGUUCCAUGGGAAACUGGAACUGGGGUGGCCUUUCACAUUGCCCCAAAGGGAGGCAUAAGGGCUACGCUUUGUACCCCACCUCCCAUGGAGAAGUCACUGGGUGUAGGAUGCCCUGUUGGUGAGGCAGCUCCCUUCAGUCUGGGGCAGUUCCUGGGGAAGGGCUCAGCUGUGAGAGCUUCUGGGGGCAACAUCCCAUGCAGAUAGAAGAUGGUCUCCUCGGUCCUGAAGGGGAGCUGAGCAGGGCAGCACACCAUCAGCUGCACACGAGAGCUGGGCCACACUUCCCAGGGGCCAAAUAAACAGGGGAGCCCCAGCUCUGGGGAAGAUGAAGGGCUGAGGGUCAGGAGGAGGUCGCAGAAGGCUGUUGCACGUGGAAACCAUCCGGAAGUUAAGUGACCAGGGAAAAUGCUGCUUGUGAGUGUGUGGAGACUGUAAAAGGAUGGACUUCUGUAGCUGGUCUGAGGCCAGCAGGCCUGAGGAACUUAGCAAGGAGUCAGAGAGAAGCUGGUGACAAAAAAGUAGGAAAUUGUAGGAAGGCUGUAGAAUUAAGAGUUUGGGCCAAGUUAACCUAAACCAUUUGUGUCAUAUUAGAGAAGGGUACUUUUCCCAGCACUCAGCUGGGUUUUGAGGAUUUCGGACCUUAAAGAGCAGAAUACAUCUAUUCCCAGGCCAUGCCAGGGGCUGUUGAAAGAGGUCCUGAGAACUGUGCCAGGCCUGAUUCAGGUAACAGGAAGAGAUGUGGGAGAGGAUAAGCCUCCGACCAAAACAGCUUCACUUCAGAGAGUUAAGGGAGUUUUAUAGACUGAAUCAUGUCCUCCCCAGAGUCAUACACUGAAGCCCUAAUUCUAGCAUGACCAUCUGCAAGCCAAGGAGAGAGGCCUCAGGAGAAACCAACCCCGAUGACACCUUGAUCUUGGAAUUCCAGCGUCCAGAACUGUUGUUUAAGCGCCUCCAGUCUGUGGGAUUUUGCUAUGGCAGCCUAAGCUAAGACAGGGAGACAGGCCACCCACCAGCUGAGAAGGUGGGUGCCAGAAGCAAAGCCAACCCGUGUGUCCUCACCUCGCUCUCCCUGCUCUUUCCUGAUCCACAGUCUCUGACUCUGGAGGGGACUGCUCAGUGGCCAGCAGAUGCCUGGCAGAGGCACAUCUUCCCCACUACAUGUGAACCCUGGACCUAUGUAAAAUGCCAGAAAUCAGGAGCUCCCGGGUUACUUUGCACAUCUGCAAGCACCAACUUCUGGUCCGGCUGCAUGCACUUGACUCGGAGGGAAAGGAGCAGCUUCACACAUGGGUCUCCUCGUCCCCCGCUGCUGGCCUGGCUAUCGCCAAUGUCACUGACCUGAAUUCAGUUUUCAAAGGAAAUGUGUUUCAUGGUGAUUCUUUUGGUUCCAGUUCAGAACUUGGAUAAAAAAUAUGCUCCAAUUUAAGAAAAAUAGUCAAUUCGCAAAUCAAAACUGAAAUCUAGAAAGGUGAAAGAGUUGACUCUCUGGGCCUCCUUAUCUGAAAAAUGAGGCAGUUGCACUAGAUUUGUAGGUUUUCUUUAAAAGUUUUUUUUUUUAACCACAAGAAAACUUUCUUCAAAAGAAAUGUUACCAGGAAGCAGAAACAAAAGAGGGGCAUAAGGGUUGAGCUGCUUGAUCAAAAGGGGAGAGAAAGGUUGAGUUCCAGAAUCCUGCCCUCCAAGGCACGGCUUUGCAAAGCAGAGUCUAAAAGGCAUUUUACUCUCAUUGCCUACAUGCUCCUCCAGCCUCCUGUCUGAGGAUCCAUGAAGAGUCAGUAUUCCCACACACCCGGUUGUAUACCCACCAGGCACCUCGGAACCAGUCACUGAGAACAUGGGCCAUGCAAAGAAGGGAGCACGUACAGGGCUCAGCAGGGGCGAGCAAGCCUGGGUCCAGGUGAGCUUCUUUAGCUCCUUCUCCCAGAUUCUCCAUCCAGGAGCCAACACUGACCACAGGGAGAGGGAGGGCUGGGUGGGGAGAGAGCCAGGGGAGGUGGGCCUACUGAAAUUCCUCCACAUAAAAACAAGAGGUGUGGCUCCAAAGUGGCACAUCUUGUCACAAAGAAGGUGGAAGCAGCAGAUGAGAAUUCGCUCACCUCCCAAGGCCAAAACCACUUGGAAUAAAGAAAAUGUGGUACCUACACACCAUGGAAUAUACUAUGCAACCAUAAAAAAGAAUGAGAUCAUGUCCUUUGCAGGGACAUGGAUGAAGCUGGAAGCCAUCAACCUCAGCAAAAUAACACAGGAACAGAAAACCAAAGACUGCAUGUUGCCACUCAUAAGUAGGAGCUGAACAAUGAGAACACAUGGACACAGGGAGGGGAACAACACAUACCGGGGCCUGUUAGGGGGGCGUGGCAAGGGGAGGGAGAGCAUCAGGACAAAUAGCUAAUGCACACUAGCUUAAUACCUAGGUGACCGAUUGAUAGAUGCAGGAAACAACCGUGGCACACAUUUACCUAUGUAACAAACCUGCACAUUCUGCACAUGUAUCCCAGAACUUAAAGUAAAAUAAAAUUUAAAAAAAAAAACCA